UACGGAGGGUGCAAGCGUUAAUCGGAGUUACUGGGCGUAAAGCGUGCGUAGGCGGUUCGUUAAGUCUGUUGUGAAAGCCCCGGGCUCAACCUGGGAAUGGCAAUGGAUACUGGCGAGCUAGAGUGUGUCAGAGGAUGGUGGAAUUCCCGGUGUAGCGGUGAAAUGCGUAGAGAUCGGGAGGAACAUCAGUGGCGAAGGCGGCCAUCUGGGACAACACUGACGCUGAGGCACGAAAGCGUGGGGAGCAAACAGG
rnacentral:rRNA from 1 species